rnacentral:rRNA from 1 species
AUGAAAAAAAGGAGAAAAGGGCCGCUAAACAAAACCUCACAUCCCACGUUUCACCUACCCGCGCGCGCAGGACACACGCUCAACUCCCACUCCCACCCACACCUUCGAUUCCCAGAUCUUAGCGCAUAUCGUGCCCAAUCCCCCCACCUGUUUCCGAAACCUAACCCCGCGAUCCCAAUGCGCAGGGGUCCUGGCGAGGCGUCCCUCCGCCGCCGCCGCGCGCCGGCGCGGCUGUUGGUCGCCGUGGCGGCGCUCGUCACUUGCACUAUCUGGCUCUGGUCCUCCUCCGCCGACCUCACCCUUGCCUCCUACAAGGCCCAGGAUGUUGAUGUAAAUAAGUUGUGGAGAACUGCAAAUUCAAAUGGCUGGAGAGCUUCUUCUGCACCACGAUCAUAUUGGCCUCCCCCACCAACUGAGUCUGAGACUAAUGGGUACUUGCGUGUCCGAUGCAAUGGUGGCUUGAACCAACAACGUACUGCGAUAUGUAAUGCUGUUGUUGCUGCACGAAUAAUGAAUGCUACACUAGUGCUGCCAGAAUUAGAUGCAAACUCUUUUUGGCGUGACGAGAGUGGUUUCAUAGGUAUUUAUGAUGUUCCCCACUUCAUCAAGACAUUAAAAUAUGAUGUCCGUAUUGCUAUGAGCGUUCCAGAUAUCAUUACAAACGGAAAAACUAAGAAGCUGAAAGCCUACCAGAUCCGGCCACCGAGAGAUGCACCGGUAACUUGGUAUACGACAGUUGCUUUAGAGAAGAUGAAGAGUUAUGGGGCUAUCUAUUUAACUCCAUUUUCACAUCGCUUGGCAGAAGAUAUAAAUGAUCCAGAGAUCCAGAGACUUCGAUGCCGGGUGAAUUAUCAUGCAUUACGAUUCAAGCCAAACAUCAUGAAAACAAGCAGUGAGAUAGUGAAUAAGCUCCGCUCAGAAGGCCAUUUCAUGUCGAUUCAUCUUCGGUUUGAGAUGGAUAUGCUUGCUUUUGCUGGGUGCAUUGAUAUAUUUACACCUCAGGAACAGAAAAUUCUGAUCAAGUACCGCAAGGAAAAUUUUGCAGAAAAAGAACUUGUCUAUAGGGAAAGACGGCUCAUUGGAAAGUGCCCUUUAACUCCAGAAGAGGUAGGUCUUAUUCUUCGUGCACUGGGCUUUGAUAAUACAACACACAUUUACCUUGCUUCUGGAGAGCUCUUUGGUGGGAAACGCUUCAUGAGGCCCUUCAAGGAUAUGUUUUCGCGCCUAGAAAACCAUAGCUCCGUUGGACCUGGAAAGCUGGAAGAAAAUACCCGUGGACUGGCAGGUUCUGCAGUUGAUUACAUGGUCUGUCUCCUAUCAGACAUUUUUAUGCCCACAUAUGAUGGCCCAAGCAACUUUGCAAACAACCUCAUUGGUCACCGCCUAUACUAUGGUUUCCGUACCAACAUCACGCCAAACAGGAAGGCCCUUGCUCCGAUAUUCAUGGACAGGGAAGUAGGCUUGACAGCUGGUUUUGAGGAGCGAGUGAGGCAGGUCAUGACAAAGACAUAUGUUGGUGGCCCCCAUAAGCGCAUUCAUCCCGAACCUUUCUAUACAAACUCAUGGCCAGAGUGCUUUUGCCAGGAGAACCCUAGGAAUCAUGCAGACAAAUGCCCACCAGACAAUAUAUAUGAGGUUCUGGAGAAUCAAUUUAGGAGUGAAGAGAAUGAAGAAAGUAUAGAAGUGAAAGCCACUAGUCAGAUUGAUUCAACCAGCCAAACCGAAGAGACUGUGAUUUAA